ensembl:lncRNA
AGGGGGCUCCAGGAAGGCCACUGAGGAGUCUGGGCUGGGAAAUGAAGACUCCAGGGGGCUGUUGGAGUUUUGAGUGCCUGAGAGGUUUUGCAUAGCACCGACUGACAGAAGAGCUUCUCAGGGCUCAGGCCUUUGGUCUCCCAGGUUUACAGUCAUCUGAAAAAUUUUUUUUGUGAGAGAAUCCUGUAUUAAGUCUUUGGGAUGGGUCUGUUGAAGUUUCUAAAAGAUGCUCUAAGGUAGCUCCCCCCACCCCCAAUUAUAUAUCCCUAAAAGUGCUUUAACGCCCCAACUUACCUGUAAGCCCAACAUUGAGGAAGCAGAAGCAAGAAGAUCAGAAGUUGCAGAUCAGAUUGUAUUACACGAACAUUCAAAAUGAGACGAAAUAAGCAAAAUGCUACCACUAACAACAGAAAUAACCUGUGACCUAGGCCAAUCUAGGAUGUUGGUUUUUGUUUUGGCUUGGAACUUCCUAUGAAGACCACUGGACACACUGGAGAGCCACCUGCCUCUGUCUCCUAUCAGCUACAAGAUGCGUCAGCCUUAUUGGACACAGCUUUUCCUCACCUUGGGCCUAUGCCAGCCUGCCAGUCUUCUCAGUGAUUUCUCCUGGACCUCCCUCCCUCCCUCUGAGCUGGGAAGAUAUGAUCGAGGGCUGGAUGCUGCUUUCUCAAAACUGAACAGUGAGAAGAGAAAAGUUCAGAGGACAUUGAUCUUGGCCUAGUUGGCAGGUGGCCUUGGCCUCCUGUGCUUUCAGGAAGUCGCCAAGUCUUUCUCCCAGGUUGGAGAGAAGCAGCCUGGACUUGAGAGCUUCCCUCCCCUGAAGCUGUGAGCCUGGGCCUCUUUGUUGGAAAAAAAUGCAUGGUCUCUGCUUUACUUGUCUUUCACUUCCACGUCCUGCAAAAGGAGAGACCUUAUAACUUGUGGCUUUUGGGGGAUGUAGAUAGGGACAGAGUGGCCCAGUAAAGUAAUUGCAAGCACAAGGACCUGAGUUUGUUCCUUAAAACCUACUUGAAAAUGCCAGGUGUGAAGGAAUCCAGUUGUAAUCCCAACAUUGUGGAGGCAGAGACAUUGUGGGGCUCCUUGCCUAGCCAUUGGAGUCUAAUCUGUGGUGAGCCUCCUGCCAAUGAGGGAAAUUGGUAGACAGCAUUCCUGAGGAUGACACUUCUGACUUACAUAUAUACUUGGACAGUCACAUGGAGAAAAAAAAUUGUGUUGAGG